AUCAAUGUUGUGAGAGCAGUCGAACAAGAUGAAAGGUUUUGUGCUAUUCCUGGUUAUCGUGCUUCUUGCGUAUACGUACGCUGCCUCAACAGGGGCACCUGUUAACUACGGCAAUAUAGAGGCGCAUACCGGCAGUGCUGCUUCUGGAGUCGUGUCGGACUCAACCUUUGGAAAUGGCGCGUUUAGUGCAGCUGGUAGAAGAUCGUGUGGUUUGUUCUCGCUGUUUUCGGGUUGCUGAUUGCAUAUGCAUACUAUACAUUCAGAUGGCAGAAACAACUGGAGAGCAUAAGAAAUAUUUUUUUCUGAGAUUUAUAUGUAUAUGACAAUUAUGAUAGAUACCAUUAUUUCUCUACGCAAGCAAGUCCCGCGACAAGCUUUUCCAUUAUUGAAAUCAUAUUUUAUUUCUUUUCUCACCUAUUAAAAAAAAAAAAACGUAAUCCUACAGUUGUAGAAUUUUAUACGUCAUUAUUGUGUAUUUAUUAAAUAUAAAUAUUUGUAUUUUAUA